AGAAUAAACUUGCACCUAAACUUUCUGCUGCGAAUCAGCACCGUUAGUCGCAAGCAUAUUUAUCCACACGUUUGGUCAAUGGUAACUUCGCCCCCAAUUGACGAACUGAGGGAAUCAACCUCAAUUAGUUUACUUGGUGUCUAUGAUGUAGGAUAUAUUUGACAACUUCAUAAAAGGAAACAACAAUCCCAACAGAAGGACCAGCACGAGCAACACGGGGCCCGAUUCCUGUGAACAGUCCCUUCACCCCACCAUCCCUCCAGAUUUCUCGUAAUGUUUGUCUUGUAGUCAUAUUUAAUGCCCUGGAUGGAUCCUUCUCUAUCUGCCUUCUGGUCCUUGCAACAUCUAAUGGGCACGUAGCAGCAGCUGCCAGAGUUCCUGCAACAAAACCAGCAGAAAAGUUUGCCCCAAGGACACUGGCUACCGUGGCUUCAUCAGCCACAAGAUCAUGAAUUCCUUUCCUGAUAGGCUCAAGGGUUGACCAGCAUAUUGCAGAGAAGGGAACAUCACGAGAAAGUUGUGCUCCAAGGCCAGUC
rnacentral:misc_RNA from 1 species